rnacentral:rRNA from 1 species
GCUGGCGGCGUGCUUAACACAUGCAAGUCGAGCGGUAAGGCCCCUUCGGGGUACGACGAGCGGCGAACGGGUGAGUAACACGUGAGCAACCUACCCUCAACUUCGGGAUAAGCCUCGGAAACGGGGUCUAAUACCGGAUAUCACUUUCCACCUCAUGGGUGGGGGGUUGAAAGUUCUGGCGGUUGGGGAUGGGCUCGCGCCUAUCAGCUUGUUGGUGGGGUAAUGGCCUACCAAGGCGUCGACGGGUAGCCGGCCUGAGAGGGCGACCGGCCACACUGGGACUGAGACACGGCCCAGACUCUACGGGAGGCAGCAGUGGGGAAUAUUGCGCAAUGGACGAAAGGUCUGACGCAGCAACGCCGCGUGA